rnacentral:rRNA from 1 species
UACGUAGGGUGCGAGCGUUAAUCGGAAUUACUGGGCGUAAAGCGUGCGCAGGCGGUUUUGUAAGCCAGAUGUGAAAGCCCCGGGCUUAACCUGGGAACUGCAUUUGGGACUGCAAGGCUGGAGUACGGCAGAGGGAGGUGGAAUUCCACGUGUAGCAGUGAAAUGCGUAGAGAUGUGGAGGAACACCGGUGGCGAAGGCGGCAUCCUGGACCAAUAUUGACGCUGAGGAGCGAAAGCCAGGGGAGCAAACGGG